rnacentral:rRNA from 1 species
GAUGAACGCUGGCGGCGUGCCUAAUACAUGCAAGUCGAGCGAAGCGGGGACGGGUGAGUAACACGUGGAUAACCUCCUAUAAGACUGGGGUAACUUCGGGAAACCGGUGCUAAACCGGCUACUUAUCGAUGGAUCCGGUCUGCAUUAGCUAGUUGGUAAGGUAACGGCUUACCAAGGCAACGAUGCAUAGCCGACCUGAGAGGGUGAUCGGCCACACUGGAACUGAGACACGGUCCAGACUCCUACGGGAGGCAGCAGUGGGGAAUCUUGCGCAAUGGGCGAAAGCCUGACGGAGCAACGCCGCGUGAGUGAUGAAGGUCUUCGGAUCGUAAAGCUCUGUCAUUAGGGAAGCGGUACCUAAUCAGAAAGCAACGGCUAACUACGUGCCAGCAGCCGCGGUAAUUC